GGGUCAGUAGGUUGGUCGUGCCACCGGUACGUACUGGUCUCACUGAUUCCUCCAUCCUGAAGAACCGUAAUGCCAUUAAUUUGGUGUUGCGGGGAAACAGGACUGUUACUUUGAAAAAAUUAGAGUGAUUAAAGCAAGCUAACGCUUGAAUACAUUAGCAUGGAAUAAUGAAAUAGGACGAUCGAUCCUAUUUUGUUGGUUUCUAGGAUUGACGUA
rnacentral:rRNA from 1 species